UACGUAGGGGGCAAGCGUUGUCCGGAUUUAUUGGGCGUAAAGAGCGUGUAGGCGGCCAUACAGGUCCGUUGUGAAAACUGGAGGCUUAACCUCCAGACGUCGAUGGAAACCGUAUGGCUAGAGUCCGGAAGAGGAGAGUGGAAUUCCUGGUGUAGCGGUGAAAUGCGCAGAUAUCAGGAAGAACACCCGUGGCGAAGGCGGCUCUCUGGACGGCAACUGACGCUGAGGCACGAAAGCGUGGGGAGCAAACAGG
rnacentral:rRNA from 1 species